rnacentral:rRNA from 1 species
UACGGAGGGUGCAAGCGUUAUCCGGAUUCACUGGGUUUAAAGGGUGCGUAGGUGGGCAGUUUAGUCAGUGGUGAAAUCUCCGGGCUUAACCCGGAAACUGCCGUUGAUACUAUCUGUCUUGAAUACCGUGGAGGUGAGCGGAAUAUGUCAUGUAGCGGUGAAAUGCUUAGAUAUGACAUAGAACACCAAUUGCGAAGGCAGCUCACUACACGAAUAUUGACACUGAGGCACGAAAGCGUGGGGAUCAAACAGG